CGAAAGCCUGACGGAGCAAGACCGCGUGAGGGAGGAAGGCUCUUGGGUUGUAAACCUCUUUUGUCAGGGAAGAACACAAUGACGGUACCUGAAGAAUCAGCAUCGGCUAACUCCGUGCCAGCAGCCGCGGUAAUACGGAGGAUGCAAGCGUUAUCCGGAAUUAUUGGGCGUAAAGCGUCCGCAGGUGGCACUUCAAGUCUGCUGUCAAAGACCGGGGCUUAACCCUGGAAAGGCAGUGGAAACUGAAGCGCUAGAGUGUGGCAGGGGUAGAGGGAAUUCCCGGUGUAGCGGUGAAAUGCGUAGAGAUCGGGAAGAACAUCGGUGGCGAAAGCGCUCUACUGGGCCAUAACUGACACUCAGGGACGAAAGC
rnacentral:rRNA from 1 species